AGGACGAACGCUGGCGGCGUGCUUAACACAUGCAAGUCGAGCGGAAAGGCCCUUCGGGGUACUCGAGCGGCGAACGGGUGAGUAACACGUGAGUAAUCUGCCCCUAGCUCUGGGAUAGCUCCGGGAAACCGGGAUUAAUACCGGAUACGACCACCUUAGACAUCUUUUGUGGUGGAAAGAAUUUCGGCUAGGGAUGAGCUCGCGGCCUAUCAGCUUGUUGGUGGGGUAACGGCCUACCAAGGCGACGACGGUAGCCGGCCUGAGAGGGCGACCGGCCACACUGGGACUGAGACACGGCCCAGACUCCUACGGGAGGCAGCAGUGGGAAUAUUGCGCAAUGGGCGAAAGCCUGACGCAGCGACGCCGCGUGGGGGAUGAAGGCCUUCGGGUUGUAAACCCCUUUCAGCAGGGACGAAGCGAAAGUGACGGUACCUGCAGAAGAAGCGCCGGCUAACUACGUGCCAGCAGCCGC
rnacentral:rRNA from 1 species